CAGUCGCCGCGGUAAUACGAAGGGUGCAAGCGUUAAUCGGAAUUACUGGGCGUAAAGCGUGCGUAGGCGGUUUGUUAAGUCUGUUGUGAAAUCCCCGGGCCCAACCUGGGAAUGGCAAUGGAUACUGGCAAGCUAGAGUGUGUCAGAGGAUGGUGGAAUUCCCGGUGUAGCGGUGAAAUGCGUAGAGAUCGGGAGGAACAUCAGUGGCGAAGGCGGCCAUCUGGGACAACACUGACGCUGAGGCACGAAAGCGUGGGGAGCAAACAGGAUUAGAUACCCCCGUAGUCCCUGUCUCUUAUAC
rnacentral:rRNA from 1 species